rnacentral:rRNA from 1 species
GACGAACGCUGGCGGCGUGCCUAAUACAUGCAAGUAGAACGCUGAAGAGAGGAGCUUGUUCUUCUUGGAUGAGUUGCGAACGGGUGAGUAACGCGUAGGUAACCUGCCUCGUAGCGGGGGAUAAUUAUUGGAAACGAUAGCUAAUACCGCAUAACAAUGGAUGACACAUGUCACUUAUUUGAAAGGGGCAAUUGCUCCACUACAAGAUGGACCUGCGUUGUAUUAGCUAGGAGGUGAGGUAAUGGCUCACCUAGGCGGCGAUACAUAGCCGACCUGAAUGGGAGGUCGGCCAAACUGGGACUGGAGAACGGGCCAGGCUCCUUCGGGGGGGAGCAGUAGGGAAAUAUGGGCAAUGGGGGCAAACCUGGCCGAGGAACGCCGGGUGGGGUAAGGAGGGUUUUGGAGCGGAAAAGUCUGUUGGAAGGCAAAGACGAGUAGGAGGGUAAAAAGUUCACGCUGUGACGGUAGCUAACGAAAAAGGGACGGCUAACUACGUG